rnacentral:lncRNA from 1 species
AUGGUCACAGUUGAUUACAUCACAAUGGGUUUGCAGCAUAUAAAGCCCAGACCAUCUUUAGGCCUAGGCUCAUUUCUCCUAAGGGUAUGUAGUGGCAGGAAGGAUUUCUGUUAUGGAGCAGCUAGUCAACCUGCCCACAGUUUUAGAAGAAAGCCGAAGAGUGUGAUCUACGGAGCAUGCUGCGCUUGCCAGGGGUGUGGACGCAGAGUUCAAGCACAAAGGGCAGGCAUUGAUUUCAUACUUCUGAUAGAUUCUUUGUGGACUAGGCAAAAGUUGAAGAAAGUGAUCAGCAACAGCAGGGGAAAUUUUCAAAAAGAGAAAUCCUACUGGAAGUCCUCCACCUUCUGA